AUUUGCUGCGGGCUCCUUGUUUCAAAAUACUGCAAUUCAAAAUACUCCAAAAUAUCUCAAAAUUUUAGAACUCAUUUCCUCGCGCUCAACUCCAACUCUCCAAACAUCUCCCAAUCUUUUGCCGUCGCCGUCGAACUCCAACCCUUGUUCGGCCCUGCGUCGCCGUCGAAAUCCGCCCUUGCUCGGCCCUACGUCGCUGUCCUCUCCGGUGGAUGUCUGUUCUCGCCUCAUCUCCCCCGUCGCUGUCCUCUCCGAUGGGUGGCUUUUCAAUUGCUGAAAAUUCGGUCAGCUUGGUCGGCUGGGGGUUCAGCGUCCCCCCGUCGCGUCCUGGUUCCGGUGCUUGCUCGGCCGUUACUCUCCUCGCCACAACCAGUUUACAAAGCCAGCAGUGGCCUCAAGAUUGCUGUUGAACUUUGUGGUGAGCUAAAACUGAUUAAUUGUGCAUAAUAAUUUCUAGUAGCAGUAAUUGAACUAUUUUGGUCGCUGAUCUCAAAAGAGGUUAAGGCUAAUCACCCAAAGAUUAUCAGCUUGCUGGGGUUGUUGCGGUUGAAGUCACAGGAGGGCCAACCAUCGACUUUGUUCCAGGAAGAAUGGAUUGCGCAGAUUCUCCUGAUGAAGGACGCCUUCCUGAUGCAAAUCAAGGUACGUACGUAUUCUACCCUCUCAUCAGUAAUAUGACAGUUUAGUAGUACAUGUUAUUAACAGCGUAAAAUGGGUUGCAGGUGCCGGACAUUUGAGAGAAAUCUUUUACAUAAUGGGGCUUUCUGACAAGGAUAUUGUCGCGCUUUCAGGAGGCCACACUCUGGUAUAUUUAUCACCAUUUGAUGGGACAUGAAGUCGAGAUGCAGGUGGUUUGAAAUACUUUGCCUCGUCGAUUUGGCGCUCCAGGUCUUCCAGAGUUGAAUGCAUCUCAGCUACAAUAAUCGGGCAAUUAUGGAGGCUGCUCAAGUACUGCUUUAUUUCGGAGUUGAACAAAUCAUCUAUGUUUCUGAAAUGACGCACUGCUAAAUAAAGGUCUAUUCUCCGAAGACUGCGCCUUAUGCUAGUGAGGAAAAUGAUGUGGUUCGUGAGCAAUGGGCUAAGUUUUAUACCAGCAUGUAUUUAUUAUUGAUCUGAGGGCGCUUGAACGAGUUGGUUUAGAUGUUAUAGAACAAUUUUUUAUGUUGAAAUGUAUGAUUACGUUGAAAUUGGAACGUACAUAUAUUUAUUUAAAUGUAUAUAUAUGGUACGUGCACUUUGGUUUUGGGAUAUAUAUACAAAACACCAGUUAUUGUUUUUAUA